GACGAACGCUGGCGGCGUGCUUAACACAUGCAAGUCGAACGAAGCUUGAUGACGGAUUCUUCGGAUGAAGUAUGAUAUGACUGAGUGGCGGACGGGGGAGUAACGCGUGAGUAACCUGCCCUUCAGAGGGGGAUAGCGUGUGGAAACGAACGGUAAUACCGCAUAAUGUAUUUUGACCGCAUGAUCGAAAUACCAAAGAUUUAUCGCUGAAGGAUGGACUCGCGUCUGCUUAGGUAGUUGGUGGGGUAACGGCCUACCAAGACGACGAUCAGUAGCAGGAGUGAGAGGUCGCGCUGCCACAUUGGGACUGAGACACGGCCCGGACUCCUACCGGAAGCAGCAGUAGCGUAUCUUGCACAAGGGGCGCGAGCCUGAUGCAGCAUCGCCGCGUGAAAGAAGGCGGUUUUCGGAUUGUAAACUUCUGUUCUUAGUGAAGCAUAAUGACGGUAGCUAAGGAGCAAGCCACGGCUAACUACGUG
rnacentral:rRNA from 1 species